GGAGCGAUAUCUAAGUGGUCGAAAGAGCUCGAUUGCUAAUCGAGUGUACAGUUUGCUGUACCGAGGGUUCGAAUCCCUCUCGCUCCG
rnacentral:tRNA from 1 species